CUUACCUCUUGUUGACACACCCCCAGGUAGCAUGCCGGUGGCUACGCACCAAUUAGCUUCUCAUUCAUAAAAAGGGCUCUGACAGACCGGUCACGCACAGGCCCUGCUUUGACGCGUUGUCCCCCGGUCCUCGCUGCUUCACGGGAAGUGUUUGCUUCCGCAGCAUACGGAAUGCCUCUGGGUAGAUGGAGGAUGCCUGCCCUGAUGGUUUCGUCUUGAGGAUGCUGGGGGCAUCUCAAGCUUUGGUGUGGUGUGUCAGUCUGCUUUGGUGCUGCAGGAGUGAGCUCUCCCUCUGACUGCCUGGGAUGCUUGGAGAGGCAUGGAUUUACCCGCAGUUUGGUUGCAUUGAGACUCGGAGCGAUGCCACUGCUGCUCUGAUAGGCCUAUUGUGUGUGAACCAGUUGUUGCCC